UUGAUCCUGGCUCAGAAUCAACGCUGGCGGCGUGCCUAACACAUGCAAGUCGAACGCGAAAGCCUCUUCGGAGGUGAGUAGAGUGGCGUCCGGGUGAGUUACGCGUGGGUAAUCUACCCUUGGGUGGGGAAUAACCAGUCGAAAGAUUGUCUAAUACCGCAUAAUGCAGCGGCUCGACAUCGAGACAGUUGUUAAAGCAUUAAUGCGCCUAAGGAGGAGCCUGCGUCUGAUUAGCUUGUUGGUGAGGUAUUGGCUCACCAAGGCUGCGAUCAGUAGCUGGUCUGAGAGGACGGCCAGCCUCAAUGGCACUGAAACACGGGCCAUACUCCUACGGGAGGCAGCAGUGGGGUAUUUUGCGCAAUGGGCGAAAGCCUGACGCAGCAACGCCGCGUGAAGGAUUAAAUCCUUCGGGAUGUAAACUUCGCAAAUAUGGGAAGAACUCAAUGACGUUACCAUAUGUAAGCCCCGGCUAACUCCGUGCCAGCAGCCGCGGUAAUAAUGU
rnacentral:rRNA from 1 species